AGAGUUUGAUCCUGGCUCAGGACGAACGCUGGCGGCGUGCUUAACACAUGCAAGUCGAACGGAGAGGCCCUUCGGGGUACUCGAGUGGCGAACGGGUGAGUAACACGUGGGUGAUCUGCCCUGCACUUUGGGAUAAGCCUGGGAAACUGGGUCUAAUACCGAAUAUGACCAUGCGCCUCCUGGUGUGUGGUGGAAAGCUUUUGCAGUGUGGGAUGGGCCCGCGGCCUAUCAGCUUGUUGGUGGGGUAAUGGCCUACCAAGGCGACGACGGGUAGCCGGCCUGAGAGGGUGACCGGCCACACUGGGACUGAGAUACGGCCCAGACUCCUACGGGAGGCAGCAGUGGGGAAUAUUGCACAAUGGGCGCAAGCCUGAUGCAGCGACGCCGCGUGAGGGAUGACGGCCUUCGGGUUGUAAACCUCUUUCAGCACAGACGAAGCGCAAGUGACGGUAUGUGCAGAAGAAGGACCGGCCAACUACGUGCCAGCAGCCGCGGUAAUACGUAGGGUCCGAGCGUUGUCCGGAAUUACUGGGCGUAAAGAGCUCGUAGGUGGUUUGUCGCGUUGUUCGUGAAAACUCACAGCUUAACUGUGGGCGUGCGGGCGAUACGGGCAGACUUGAGUACUGCAGGGGAGACUGGAAUUCCUGGUGUAGCGGUGGAAUGCGCAGAUAUCAGGAGGAACACCGGUGGCGAAGGCGGGUCUCUGGGCAGUAACUGACGCUGAGGAGCGAAAGCGUGGGGAGCGAACAGGAUUAGAUACCCCGGUAGUCC
rnacentral:rRNA from 1 species